rnacentral:lncRNA from 1 species
UAUUAACAUGCCUCUGUUGUUUGUUAACAUGCCUCUUUUGUUUUGUUAACAUACAUUUGCUGUUUUAUUAACAUGCCUCUGUUGUUUUGUUUAUAUGCAUUUGCUGUUUUAUUAACAUGCCUCUGUGGUUUUAUUAACUUGCCUCUGUGGUUUUAUUAACUUGUCUCUGAGGUUUUAUCAACAUGCCUCUGUUGUUUUUCACAGUCCUUUUAUAUCACAUCAGAUUUGGACCAACCCUUUUGGCAUGCAUUUGUGUGAACCCAGAGUUCCUAGGGAGAAGGUGUACAGGACAAGGAGAUCUCUCACUCCCUUUGGCUUCACCAGCUGGCAUCCCUCCAUUCAUCCUGGGACCAGAGGACUUCUCAUCUCCACACAUCAGGCCAAACUGAGGGAGGGAGUUAAAGACAGUGAAGAGAGAGCCAAAACUGUGGUGCAUGGUGGGGAUUUGUGUUGGCUGACGAAGGCGAGCCAGCCCUGUUUUGUUUUUCCACCUUCCUGUGCUUCACAUUUAGCAGUGCCACUGCCUCAGUCUACAAUAGAUGAGAGAUAUUCUGGUCAGCUGCCUAUCAGCUCCCAGCCUUAGAGCCCAGGCAGGGCCUGGGAGGAUCUGCUGGUACAGAGAGGAGAGUGUUGGAAGGGUCACAUUAAAACCUUCCCUCUUCCAGCCAGUAUCUCCCACCCACCCGUGCUCUUUUUUUAGGGACCCACUCUCACUGAGGCACAACCACAUUUACAUGCACCAAAAGCAUUACAGUGAUCUGUCACUCUUUUCUAGAGCAAAGAACAGAGUUCAUUCUUUGAGGACUACUCCACCUUGGUGUCUAUUUUGGCUAUUUAGUAUGGCAGCAUUCAGGUCUUUUUUUUCCUGAAUGGUUUUUGAUGUUGUGCUGACUCAGAUAAUGGAAGAUGUGAAAAGACGGGCUGGUUUUGGAUGAUUCUCCCCCAUAGGACAGUGUGGGUCCAGAUACAGUGCCUUGCCAAAGUAUUCAUCCCCCUUGGCAUUUUUCCUAUUUUGAUGCAUUUCAACCUGUAAUUUAAAUGGAUUUUUAUUUAGAUUUCAUGUAAUGGACAUACACAAAAUAGUCCAAAAUGGUGAAGUGAAAUGAGAAAAAUGACAGAAAAAUAACGGAAAAGUGGCCCGAAAGUCUGCAACACCACUAAGCAAGGGGCACCACCAAGCAAGCGGCACCAUGAAGACCAAGGAGCUCUCCAAACAGAAGACGUCCUCGCCUCUCCAAAGACUGCCUGUCGGAAAAGUGCAUUUCUGUGUAAAAGCCAGGAGGUGUGAGUGUGGAUGUUUUUUCUCUCUUCAUCCAUGCAGACUCGGCCGGCGGCUAUGGUACUGACAGAGAGCCAAAGUGAGCAUGUCUGAGAAUCUGUCGGCGUUAUGAUAUGGCAUGAAAAUAAACUGCCUGGCUGUCUUGUCUCUGGCUCACGUGUAACACACAAAAUAAAAUAAUGUUUCAUACUGCAAGG